AUGAACGCUGGCGGCGUGCCUAAUACAUGCAAGUCGAGCGAACGGACGAGAAGCUUGCUUCUCUGAUGUUAGCGGCGGACGGGUGAGUAACACGUGGAUAACCUACCUAUAAGACUGGGAUAACUUCGGGAAACCGUAGCUAAUACCGGAUAAUAUUUUGAACCGCAUGGUUCAAAAGUGAAAGACGGUCUUGCUGUCACUUAUAGAUGGAUCCGCGCUGCAUUAGCUAGUUGGUAAGGUAACGGCUUACCAAGGCAACGAUGCAUAGCCGACCUGAGAGGGUGAUCGGCCACACUGGAACUGAGACACGGUCCAGACUCCUACGGGAGGCAGCAGUAGGGAAUCUUCCGCAAUGGGCGAAAGCCCGACGGAGCAACGCCGCGUGAGUGAUGAAGGUCUUCGGAUCGUAAAACUCUGUUAUUAGGGAAGAACAUAUGUGUAAGUAACUGUGCACAUCUUGACGGUACCUAAUCAGAAAGCCACGGCUAACUACGUG
rnacentral:rRNA from 1 species